CGUAAUAAUAGAAACUAACCAGGAUUCCCUUAGUAACGGCGAGUGAACUGGGAUACCAAUAUAAAAUAUGCACUCUGUGCAUAAUUUAGCCCGUCGAUACUAUCCUAGCAUAUCACCGGUCUCGGCCGGUAACCAAAUAUGCGGGAAUUGUAGCAUCGUAACAACACAAAUAUAUACGCACACACACAUAUGCCUCACGCCUCACAGCACGUACUGACAUAUCUUGUAAACACACAGCGUCUCCGCGUUGGAAAGCAAGUAUAUAUCCUCUUUGGAUAUGCCAUAGAGUGUGACAGCCACGUUUGAAUCACUCAUAUAUGCAGUAUACAUGCUACUCACACACACACACUCACGGCGCGGCGUGUCGUGCGCACACACUAUAUAUAUAUAUAUAACCUGAGUCGAGUUAUUU
rnacentral:rRNA from 1 species